rnacentral:rRNA from 1 species
AACGAACGCUGGCGGCAGGCUUAACACAUGCAAGUCGAACGCACCGCAAGGUGAGUGGCAGACGGGUGAGUAACACGUGGGGAUCUGCCCAAUGGUACGGAAUAGCUCCGGGAAACUGGAAUUAAUACCGUAUGAGCCCGCAAGGGGAAAGAUUUAUCGCCGAUGGAUGAACCCGCGUCGGAUUAGCUAGUUGGUGUGGUAAAGGCGCACCAAGGCGACGAUCCGUAGCUGGUCUGAGAGGAUGAUCAGCCACACUGGGACUGAGACACGGCCCAGACUCCUCCGGGAGGCAGCAGUGGGGAAUAUUGGACAAUGGGCGCAAACCUGAUCCAGCCAUGCCGCGUGAGUGAUGAAGGCCUUAGGGUUGUAAAGCUCUUUCGCCGGCGAAGAUAAUGACGGUAGUCGGAGAAGAAGCCCCGGCUAACUUCGUGCCAGCAGCCGCUGUAAAAC